rnacentral:rRNA from 1 species
UUAGGAAUAUUCGUCAAUGGGGGAAACCCUGAACGAGCAAUGCCGCGUGAGUGAUGACGGUCCUUUGGAUUGUAAAACUCUGUUGUUAGGGAAGAACGACCUGUAUAGGAAAUGAUACAGGAGUGACGGUACCUUUCAAGAAAGCUCCGGCUAACUACGUGCCAGCAGCCGCGGUAAUACGUAGGGAGCGAGCGUUAUCCGGAUUUAUUGGGUGUAAAGCGUGUGUAGGCGGUUUAUUAAGUCUGAGGUUUAAUCCCGGAGCUUAACUCCGGUUCGCCUCAGAAACUGAUUUACUUGAGUAUGGUAGAGGCAAGUGGAAUUUCUAGUGUAGCGGUAAAAUGCGUAGAUAUUAGAAGGAACACCAGUGGCGAAGGCGACUUGCUGGGCCAUCACUGACGCUGAGACACGAAAGCGUGGGGAGCAAAUAGG